rnacentral:rRNA from 1 species
GAUGAACGCUGGCGGCGUGCUUAACACAUGCAAGUCGAACGGAAAGGCCCAAGCUUGCUUGGGUACUCGAGUGGCGAACGGGUGAGUAACACGUGGGUGAUCUGCCCUGCACUUCGGGAUAAGCCUGGGAAACUGGGUCUAAUACCAGAUAGGACCACAUUUUGGAUGGUGUGGUGGAAAGUUUUUCGGUGUGGGAUGAGCUCGCGGCCUAUCAGCUUGUUGGUGGGGUAAUGGCCUACCAAGGCGUCGACGGGUAGCCGGCCUGAGAGGGUGUACGGCCACAUUGGGACUGAGAUACGGCCCAGACUCCUACGGGAGGCAGCAGUGGGGAAUAUUGCACAAUGGGCGCAAGCCUGAUGCAGCGACGCCGCGUGGGGGAUGACGGCCUUCGGGUUGUAAACUCCUUUCGCUAGGGACGAAGCGUUAUGUGACGGUACCUGGAGAAGAAGCACCGGCUAACUACGUG